CGGCGGACGGGUGAGUAAUGCCUAGGAAUCUGCCUGGUAGUGGGGGACAACGUUUCGAAAGGAACGCUAAUACCGCAUACGUCCUACGGGAGAAAGCAGGGGACCUUCGGGCCUUGCGCUAUCAGAUGAGCCUAGGUCGGAUUAGCUAGUUGGUGAGGUAAUGGCUCACCAAGGCGACGAUCCGUAACUGGUCUGAGAGGAUGAUCAGUCACACUGGAACUGAGACACGGUCCAGACUCCUACGGGAGGCAGCAGGCG
rnacentral:rRNA from 1 species